rnacentral:lncRNA from 1 species
GGUGGAUGACUAUAGUACAUAUACUUGGAUUCAUCUAUUACAACGAAAAUCUGAGACCAUAGUAGCUAUUAAGACAUCCAUAUCCAUGAUUAAAACAUAGUUUGGAGUGGUGAUAAAAGCCAUUAGAUCUGAUAAUCUGAUAAUGGGACUGAGUUUAUCAAUACUCAAUGUCAUACAUUAUUCCAGUCUCUGGGAAUCUUACAUCAAACCAGCUAUCCUUACACUACACAGCAAAAUGGAGUGGUGGAAAGGAAGCACAGGAACAUAUUGAAUAUUGCUAGAGCUCUUAAAUUUCAAUCCCAUUUGCCCAUCAAGUACUGGGGAUUAUGUGUAAAAGCUGCAGUAUAUAUCAUGAACAGGUUACCAACCUCAGUCCUGAGUGGUAAGAGCCCAUAUCAGUUGUUAUUCUCUACAGAUCCAAAGCUGUCUCAUUUGAGGGUAUUUGGAUGUUUGUGUUAUAUGACUAUUGCUCCUAGGGGUGACAAGUUCUCUGAAAGAGCUAAACCUAUUGUACUAGUAGGAUAUUCAGAAUCUCAAAAGGGUUACUUGUUACUGGACAUCAACUCAAAGGGAUUAUUAGUGAGUAGGGAUGUUGUGUUUUAUGAAGAUUCUUUCCUAUUUGAUAGCGUACAAAUACUUCUAAAACUGAUGAAGACAUCAAUGACUUCCUGGUCUCUAUAUAUGAUGAAGUUGGUGCUGAUGUCCCUUUAGAGGAUAUUCAUGUUGAGGAUGCAGUACCUGAUGUAACUUUACCUGGCACCACUCAUGAAGAAACAUGUCAAGAUAAUCGUUCCCUGCUUCAAACCACUUCAAGUAGACCAACGAGAACAAGUAGACCUCAUGUGGAUGCAUGAUUAUGUUAACACUUCAAAAUCCCAGAGAUGCAAGUACCCCUUAGCCAACAGCCUAUCUUACAGUAAACUAAAACUAGCAUAUCAGUGUUACUUGUCAAAGUUCUCUACUCUAACUGAGCCUCAACACUUCAAACAAGCUGUAAAAGAUGAAANNNNNNNNNNNNNNNNNNNNNNNNNNNNNNNNNNNNNNNNNNNNNNNNNNNNNNNNNNNNNNNNNNNNNNNNNNNNNNNNNNNNUGGAUUCACUCAAAGUGCUCAUGAUUAUUCUCUUCUUUCUGCAUCAAGGUAAUGACACAGUGAUAGUUCUUGUAUAUGUUGAUGACUUGCUCCUUACUGGAAGCAAUGCUAAUUUGAUUGACGCAACAAAAGCCAAGUUGCACCAGCAGCUCAUGAUGAAAGACUUGGGGAAUCUCAAAUACUUCUUGGGUAUUGAAGUUCUCAGAUCAACUUCAGGGGUGAUAUUAAAUCAAAGGAAAUACGUCCUAGAAUUAAUUUCAGAUACUGGUCUUAGUGGUUUAAAACCUGCAAUCACUCCCUUAGAGUCCAAUGUGAGGCUGACUUCACUUGAGUAUGAUCAAACCACAGUUGUACAAGGUGAUAAUUUGUUAUCUGAUGCUUCUUCUUAUCAAAGACUAAUAGGCAAACUCAUGUAUGCCACUAUUACCAGACCAGAUAUCAGUUUUGCAGUCCACACUCUCAGCUAGUUUAUCCAACAUCCCAAGAGAUCAUACUGGGAGGCUGCUAUCAGGGUAGUCAAGUACCUCAAAGGCUUUGUUGGUCAAGGAAUCUGGUUACAGGCUAAAAAUUCUACCACUCUAACUUGCUGGUGUGACUCAGAUUGGGCUACUUAUCCCAACACCAGGAGAUCAGUUACUGGUUAUGCAGUUCAUUUUAGUGAAUCUUUGAUUUCUUGGAAGUCCAAGAAAUAGCACACUAUUUCCAGGAGUUCUGCUGAAGAUAAGUACAGAAGCAUGGCUUCAGCAGUUGCAGAGAUAACUUGGUUGGUUGGCUUGUUUCAUGAACUCAAGGUUCCCAUUACCUUACCCAUACAGUCUUUAGUGACAACAAUUCAACAAUUCAGUUGGCCAAUAAUCCUGUGUUUCAUGAGAGAACAAAACACAUAAAGAUUGACUACCAUUCCAUCAGGCACAAAAUCAAAAGUGGAGUGAUACAAGCUAUACAUGUUCGCUCUCAGGACCAAGUGGUUGAUCUUCUUACUAAGAGGCUAAGCCAAACUCAACAUGCUCAUUUAUCAGGCAAGCUUGGUGUGCUAAAUAUCUUGCACCCUGCAGCCUGAGGGGGCGUAUUUUAAAGACACAUGUGUGACUACCUAUUUCACUAAUGUGCACUGAUAGGAGUAGAUAUUUAGUUAGUUAGUAUAUUGCUGAGUCAGUUGUAUAGGGUGUUGAAGGUUUGUUAGAGGUUGUUAGACAAAUGAUUAGCUAGGUGCAAUGAGGUGUCAAAUAGAAUAUUCUAGAAGGAGGUAGUUAUUAGAUAUUUUUGUAUCUCUUUCAUAGCCUAUAUAUAAGGCACAAUAUCAGAUUGUAACACGUGAUUUUGAUGAUGAAUAAAGUUUACAAUUUCACUCUCUCUUCUCUUCUUCCUUGUUCAUGAAUUAUCAAGCUGUAAUGCUUAAAUUUCACACUUUGUUCCUCUAUGUUUUUGUGUACUCUCCAGAAAACUAUUAGCUUGAAUAAUGAAUAGCUGAAAAUUAGAAGAUAGAGAGAGAACAAAUCACUAAUUUCCAGUAAAGUCUAUAAAGAAAAAGCAUAAAGCAAUGGCCUCACUUGUCUGCCAUUAAUCAUACACUCAAGUGGGAACAAUGAUUCGAACUAUGAUCAAAGUUGCUACGACAUAUUUCAACUUCACAGGGGUCCUAUUACCCCCUAAACUCAAUUUUAACAUAUUUUUAUCAUCUUUUGGGCUGACGUAGAACCUUUAUUACAUAAAAUGGAGCACAUGUUAAAGGUGUCAUAUCAGCUAAAAAGAUUGACAAAAGAUGCCACAUCAGAUAAAAAGGAUGAUAAAAUACGCUAAAAUUUAGUUCAGAGGGUAAUAGGGCCUGCGUGAAGUUGGAGUGUGUCGUAGCAAAUUUGAUCAUAGUUCAGGGGUACUAAAUGCUUUACUCUAUUUUUUUGGGUGUUUCAUUUGGCCAUAAAAUUUAGGAAUUUUUAGUAAUUUGAAAAAUUCCAAAAUACUGUUUUCACUUCAAAUUACUCACAAUAAUUCAAAAAUAACUCCAAUUUAUAUUCGUUUUCUCCCUGCGACGUUUUAUUAUUACUAAUUGUCUUGUUCCACAGUUGCUUUUAUUAUCCAUUACGAUGGUAUGUUUUUGUAUUAUACUCUAUGCACAAGGAUAAUAUUUUUUUCCAUACCAAACACACCCAAAAUCCCUAGGGGUCAUUUGGUUGUUUGUUAAGAGUUAUACACGUAUUAAUAACGCAAAAGAUUAGUUAUGCAUUUAGUUAGUCAUGUUUUAAUCAUUGUAUCUUGUACCCUAUAUUAUUACCAAUACAUGUUUUAUGUGGUGACUGCUCAAACUUCACUUCAUAAGUAAUGUUUUUUUCUGGAGUUGAUUCCUCAAAUGGUUAAAAAGUCAUUUUUUUGUAUUUCGUGUUUGUCUUCAUUAAGCUCCUCAAAAGUCAUUUUUUUUUUUUUUAGGGAUUAUUUUGAUUUAGGGAUGGCAAGGUGUGUGGUGCGGUUGUGGGGAGAAUCUGCAACCAACCCCGCAUCGAUUCUAAAAAAAAUAUUUCAACCCGCCCCACGUAACCUUAAAUCCGCAUCCCCAGUAUAGCCGAAAACCCGCCCCACAUAACUUUAAGCCCACACAGUCCAUCAUAGCCUAAAACUCGCCCACCCCGUUUACCAUCCUUAAAUUUGAACUUACUACCAAAGACAAGAAACUACAUUUUUUUUUUUUCAAUUUUCUUGAAGCAUGAUGAACACAAAGAAACUGAAGGAAGAAGGAUAAAAAGUCAUAGCAGAAAACAUUUUUGCAAAUAUAAAUAAAGUCAUUGUUUGUGGGAAAAAUUUCUUUAGUGUAACUUUGAUUCUACACUCAAAAUCGAGGUGUGUUUAAAUACAUAAUAAUGAACAAUAUAAUACAGCAACCUUACCUUUUGAUCACUUAAUGUUCAGCUAAUCAUGAUUAUUAGAACACCUCUUGUUUGAGAAAUAGUAAGUCGAAAGAAAUUGGCUAAACAAGUAUUUUGAAAGUUCACCAACAGAAGAAAGAAAAAUCAAAUUCGAAGAUUAUUAGAUGUUGAACAAAAGUAAGCUAUAGAAUUCGUAAAUCAUUUGGCUAAAGAAGUAGUUUAAAGGCCACAAACAGAAACAAGAAUUGAAUUCCAAACCGUUCACUUUAUUCUCCGAAAAAGUAUAGGAUUCCGAAAGAAGUUUAAAGGUUACCAAUCAAAUUUUGUUCUCCAGAAUGGUGAAGAACCUGUUUUGCUGCUAUCACUUUAAUUAUUCUCUAGAAUAUAUUCUUGCAAACUCAAUGUUAUAUUUCAUGCCACGUUGUGUGUAAUGUUUUAUUUGAAAAAGAAGAUCAAGUGUAUAUAAAUUUGAGAAAAUGCACUAUUUCCACCCUAAAUUAUAAACGAAAUUGCUAAGACACACUCCAACUUAAAGGGGUCCUAUUACCCCUGGACUAACUAAAAUCGUAUUUUUGGAAACCUUAGUACCUACGUGGUACAUACGUGGCACACUGCAUGAAUCAACACACUGAAGGUCUAUGUAGGCACACUGCAUGAAUCAACACUGAAGGUCCACAUAGACACACAUAAGUGCCGCAUAUGCACUAAGGUUGUCAAAAAUACGGUUUUAAUCAAUC